UACAGAGGUCUCAAGCGUUGUUCGGAUUCAUUGGGCGUAAAGGGUGCGUAGGCGGCGCGGUAAGUCGGGUGUGAAAUCCCGGGGCUCAACCCCGGAACUGCACUCGAUACUGCCGUGCUCGAGUACUGGAGAGGAGACUGGAAUUUACGGUGUAGCAGUGAAAUGCGUAGAUAUCGUAAGGAAGACCGGUGGCGAAGGCUAGUCUCUGGACAGUUACUGACACUGAGCACGAAGGCCAGGGGAGCAAACGGG
rnacentral:rRNA from 1 species